GUGUAACCAUCCACCGGUACAAUGACAAGUACCACAGGCACUGACCUUAAACAAAUGUUCAGACAGACACACACUCUCACACGAGAGCACACACUAAAGAACUCUUUGAAUGUAUCUUUACUUUCAUCCGAAUGCACAACACAAACACAAUCACACACUUUUUUUGUAACAGGCACAUUUAAUCAUUCAAUCCACAGUACCGCUGAGCUAAUUUAUUUCCUCACAGCAUCAUGUAGCAAUAGUCAUUGUGGUGCUGUGAAUCUUUCACUGUUUAUCAUAGUUAUAGCCCUUCUGUGGAAAUGCUUAGUGGUUGAUAUACUAAUGACUUGUCUGUAACAUGAGCUCAAGUCGAGUCAAGAUCAACUGGGCAGAUGUGUCUUGCAUUAGUAGUGACUCCACAGUCUUGGGAAGUAAUGAAUCAUAUAUGACAACACUAAAGAAACCUGAUUAUGAUAAUGGAUAAUUGGUGUUGCAGUGGUUAACACUGUUGCAUCACACCAAGAACAUGGGUUCAAACCUCAUGGCCAACUGGGGACCUUCUGUACAGAGUUUCUGCAUUCUCCCCAUGUCUGUAGGGGUUUCCUCCAGGUAUUCAAGCUUCCUCCCACAGUUGAAAGACAUGCAGGUUACAGUAGGUUGAUUAGUGACUCUAAAAUACCUGUAAGUGUGAAUGUGAGUGUCGCCAUGUGUCAGCCCUGUGUUAGACUGGGGAUCUGUCCAGGGUGUACCCUGCCUCUCACACCGUGUCAGCUGGGAUUGGCUCCAGGCCAGUGGGUGGGGAUUUUCUAUUCUUGAAGACAAUAGAGUGCUGUAUUAAUGAGUCCUAAAACCCAGAACUGAGUCAGCAUUUUUGCACUUCUGGUUCCCUUGCCCUAAAGUCAGUGGAUUUUUUGAAUGGGUUUUUUGGUUAGACACCUGAAUUAAGGGCUGGUUAACACAAAGUCAGUAUAUUUUCACAUUUUGUUCUGUGAAAUAAAAUAUGUCAGUAAAUACCCCACUCGUGAUUUUUAAUGCUUUUACAUGCCUUAAAAAAGGUGGUUGCUAACAAGUGGCUAAAUGAUACCACAGAAGCUGUCUGGAAUAUUAAAUGUAUAAGGUGUAGUUCAUUUAUAGCCUAACAAUAGCUUGUUACUUCUGAUGAUUGUAUAUUUGGGCUUCAGAAAUCACAAACUGUUGUUUGUCACAAAGUUUAUUUUCCACAAUAAUCCAAAAGCCUAUGGAAAAAUCCUGCUGGACUUUUGUCAAGGGAAUCAGGGCGAUACUACUGUAACUUCGGGGUUGGCCUACAAAAAACAUCUUCCCUGCAGCACUCUAUUUAUCGGCAAUAAAUUGUUUGCUUACCUACGAAAAACUGCAUAUUUUAUAGAUUUCAUACAGAAAAGGCUAACAUUCCCCAAAACAUUGAAUCUUAAUAAUUGAUCUCAUUAUGGUACUGAUUUACAAACAGGUUAUCAGUGCUACUUCCCAACACUGUGCUUUUAUUACUGUGCCUUACCCUGAAAUCUAGGUCACAGAUGAGUUAAUCUGAUCACAGAUGGUGCAGAUGAACAAAAACAAUGUCAAAAAUGGAGAAGAAUCAAUACAGAACAAAAAGUGAUCUGCCAGCAGCAGGAAAAAAAAUUAUUUAUUGUUGACAGACAGAUGCCAGGUCAAAUUUCUAACCUUGACCCUGCUGCACUCCAUGCAGGUAGUACAUUCAGUACAGGACAGCCCAACACUGACAAAGGAUAUUUUUAGCCAGCUGCUCUCCCACACUAUCAGUGGUCAUAAACACAAGUUGCUGUUGCCCGUUGACCUAGAGCAUGGGGAAGAGAAGAGAUAAAGAGAGAAUGCUGUACAAAGCUAUUGGAACAUGCACACUGUUAGUUGUUGUUAGCACACUUGUUUCCUUUUUCUCACAUCCCUCCAUUUAUCACCUAGUUCCACUUCCCAUAUGCAUUUCCCUUUUCCCUGAGCUGUGUCAUGACCUCACAUUUUCUGACCUACAUCGGUCUCUUUUUAAGCUUUUUAUUUACACCAUUAUUAUUAUUAUCAUUACAUUUAUACAGACUUUUUUCUUUUUUAAGUUAUACUUGUUUUUUAAUAAUUGAAUGUUUAUUGUAUUAUAUGUAGCUUCUGUGUGUUUCAUAUCAACUUUUAAUGGGCAUGUGGGUUGUUUUAUAGAUGCGAGAAGCCUUUGUAGAUCAAACUCAAAGACUGCUCUGAAUAAGUUGUGUGCGUGUUUGCUAUAUACUGUAUGUAUGUGACUUUUAUGGCAUGGUCUGGAUGUGUUGGAGCCAAGGAGGUUUAUCAAAGAGUUCUGGUGUAAGUAUUGGAUGACUGUUAAUUUCUGUUAGCAGAACUCUUCACACUGAUGCUGGCACUUCUCACCUGUACACUUACAUGUAAAGAUGUAACUCGGGGUAACCGUAGAUACCUCCAGGUGUGUAUGCAUGUAUGUGUGUUUACUGGUCAGAUAAGGUGGCACAUGUAACAGUGCUAUACUCUGAAUGACAAGGGUUUUGGCUGUCAUGGUGUGGCUCAUGGUCAGUAGAAGUCACCUUUUACUAUAAUUGGUUUUGAUAGACUAGUGAUAUUGCUGUGAAUAUAACUGUGUUUUUUUUUAUUUUUCUUUAUUUAACCUCUAUUUAAAUGUAUCUUUCUUGGUUGCAUAUUGUGUUUUUCUGUAAUUGAGAGCCCCACUUGUGCACUUUGACAAAAUCCUUUGAAAUGUGGAAUUAUAUGACAGUGAUUUCUUUUUCAUUUACUGUAUCAGUAAAUG